rnacentral:rRNA from 1 species
GUCGACGUUACGUAUAGCAUAUGCGCAAAAGUGGCGAACGGGUGAGUAACACGUAGGUAACCUGCCGCGCAGAGGGGGAUAACGACUGGAAACGGUCGCUAAUACCGCAUGGUACCAAGAAUAGGGGACUCUUCCUGGUUAAAACCUUGGUGCUGCGCGAGGGGCCUGCGUCCGAUUAGUUAGUUGGUGAGGUAAUGGCUCACCAAGACGAUGAUCGGUAGCUGGUCUGAGAGGAUGAUCAGUCACACGGGAACUGAGACACGGUCCCGACUCCUACGGGGGGCAGCAGUGAGGAAUAUUGCACAAUGGACGCAAGUCUGAUGCAGCAACGCCGCGUGGAGGAUGAAGGUCUUUGGAUCGUAAACUCCUUUUCUCAGGGAAGAGAAUGGACGGUACCUGAGGAAUAAGUCACGGCUAACUACGUGCCAGCAGCCGCGGUAAUACGUAGGUGGCAAGCGUUAUCCGGAAUUACUGGGCGUAAAGCGCACGCAGGUGGUCUUUUAAGUUUGACGUGAAAGCUCCCGGCUUUACUGGGAGAGAUCGUUGAAUACUG